rnacentral:rRNA from 1 species
CUACGGGACGCACCAGUGGGGAAUAUUGGACAAUGGGGGAAACCCUGAUCCAGCAAUGCCGCGUGUGUGAAGAGGGCCUGCGGGUUGUAAAGCACUUUCGGUUGGGAGGACUGCUUCUAGCACUAAUAUUGUUGGAAGUUGACGUUACCUUCAGAAGAAGCACCGGCUAACUCCGUGCCAGCAGCCGCGGUAAUACGGAGGGUGCAUGCGUUAAUCGGAAUUACUGGGCGUAAAGCGCGCGUAGGCGGCUAGAUCAGGCGGGUGUGAAAGCCCCGGGCUUAACCUGGGAACUGCAUCCGAUACUGUCUAGCUUGAGUACAGGAGAGGAGAGUGGAAUUCCACAUGUAGCGGUGAAAUGCGUAGAUAUGUGGAGGAACACCAAUGGCGAAGGCAGCUCUCUGGCCUGAUACUGACGCUGAGGUGCGAAAGCGUGGGGAGCAAACAGGAUUAGAUACCCUAGUAGUC